UAUUUUUAUUUUAUUCCUCCGAAUAGAACAUGGCCAUAGGGGUGGAUACCCCCACUAUCUGUAGAAAGAUCUCAAGUGUGAAUCCACCGGUCGAUUUAUCUAUCCGUAUAUAGAUAUAUGAACUCAAAAGGUGCUGAGUUGGAAUCCCAUUCUAACUAAGAAUGAGUCAUUGCCCUUCUCCGAGCUUUGAGGAAGGGACAGACAGUCGUGACUUUCUUGAUCGCCUCUUUAUGUUUAUUGCCUGAGCCCGGGCUUCAAAGUCAGAGCCUUCCCUGCUUCACCCAUUCAUUGCCAUCAACCGGCUGUUCGAGCUCAUCAAUCAAGACGGCGGGGAACUUAGAUGAUUCAUCUUAGUAUGCCGGGUAUGUCUUUGCGCAAGGUUCCGCUUGUUACCUCGUUAACUCGAUAAAGCCAGCUCGGG
rnacentral:lncRNA from 1 species